rnacentral:rRNA from 1 species
GUGCCAGCAGCCGCGGUAAUACGUAGGUGGCAAGCGUUAUCCGGAAUUAUUGGGCGUAAAGCGCGCGUAGGCGGUUUUUUAAGUCUGAUGUGAAAGCCCACGGCUCAACCGUGGAGGGUCAUUGGAAACUGGAAAACUUGAGUGCGGAAGAGGAAAGUGGAAUUCCAUGUGUAGCGGUGAAAUGCGCAGAGAUAUGGAGGAACACCAGUGGCGAAGGCGACUUUCUGGUCUGUAACUGACGCUGAUGUGCGAAAGCGUGGGGAUCAAACAGGAUUAGAUAC